rnacentral:rRNA from 1 species
UACGGAGGGUGCAAGCGUUAAUCGGAAUUACUGGGCGUAAAGCGUGCGCAGGCGGUUUGUUAAGUCCGCUGUGAAAUCCCCGAGCUCAACUUGGGAAUUGCAGUGGAUACUGGCAAGCUGGAGUACGGUAGAGGAAGGUGGAAUUCCCGGUGUAGCAGUGAAAUGCGUAGAGAUCGGGAGGAACACCAGUGGCGAAGGCGGCCAUCUGGGACAACACUGACGCUGAAGCACGAAAGCGUGGGGAGCAAACAGG